AGUCAAGUAAUUAAGUGCAUGUGGUGGAUGCCUUGGCAGUCAGAGGCGAUGAAAGACGUGAUAGCCUGCGAAAAGCUCCGGGGAGGCGGCAAAUAUCCUUUGAUCCGGAGAUGUCUGAAUGGGGGAACCCACCUACUUUAAGGUAGGUAUUGCAACAUGAAUACAUAGUGUUGCAAGGCGAACGAGGGGAAGUGAAACAUCUCAGUACCCUUAGGAAAAGAAAUCAAUUGAGAUUCCCUCAGUAGCGGCGAGCGAACGGGGAUCAGCCCAUUAAGUUAUGUGUGUUUUAGUGGAACGCUCUGGGAAGUGCGAACGUAGAGGGUGAUAUUCCCGUACACGAAAGGGCACACAUAAUGAUGACGAGUAGGGCGAGGCACGUGAAACCUUGUCUGAAUAUGGGGGGACCAUCCUCCAAGGCUAAAUACUCCUGACUGACCGAUAGUGAACCAGUACCGUGAGGGAAAGGCGAAAAGAACCCCUGUGAGGGGAGUGAAAUAGAUCCUGAAACCGCAUGCAUACAAGCAGUGGGAGCACCUUCGUGGUGUGACUGCGUACCUUUUGUAUAAUGGGUCAGCGACUUAUAUUCAGUAGCGAGGUUAACCGUAUAGGGGAGCCGUAGAGAAAUCGAGUCUUAAUAGGGCGUUUAGUUGCUGGGUAUAGACCCGAAACCAGGCGAUCUAUCCAUGAGCAGGUUGAAGGUUGGGUAACACUAACUGGAGGACCGAACCCACUGUCGUUGAAAAGCCAGGGGAUGACUUGUGGAUAGGGGUGAAAGGCUAAUCAAGCCUGGUGAUAGCUGGUUCUCCCCGAAAGCUAUUUAGGUAGCGCCUCGGACGAAUACCAUAGGGGGUAGAGCACUGUUUCGGCUAGGGGGUCAUCCCGACUUACCAAACCGAUGCAAACUCCGAAUACCUAUGAGUACUAUCCGGGAGACAGACUGCGGGUGCUAACGUCCGUAGUCAAGAGGAAAACAAUCCAGACCGCCAGCUAAGGCCCCAAAAUCAUAGUUAAGUGGGAAACGAUGUGGGAAGGCAUAGACAGCUAGGAGGUUGGCUUAGAAGCAGCCACCCUUUAAAGAAAGCGUAAUAGCUCACUAGUCGAGUCGGCCUGCGCGGAAGAUGUAACGGGGCUAAAACUAUGUGCCGAAGCUGCGGAUGUAUACUUUGUAUACGUGGUAGGGGAGCGUUCUGUAAGCCGAUGAAGGUGUGUUGAGAAGCAUGCUGGAGGUAUCAGAAGUGCGAAUGCUGACGUGAGUAACGACAAAACGGGUGAAAAACCCGUUCGCCGAAAGACCAAGGGUUCCAGUCCAACGUUAAUCGGGGCUGGGUGAGUCGACCCCUAAGGCGAGGCCGAAAGGCGUAGUCGAUGGGAAAAUGGUUAAUAUUCCAUUACUUCUGUGUAAUGCGAUGAGAGGACGGAGAAGGCUAAAUCAGCCUGGCGUUGGUUGUCCAGGUGAAAGGAUGUAGGCAUGUAUCUUAGGCAAAUCCGGGGUACUCUAUGCUGAGAUCUGAUAGCAAGCUGUACUUGUACAGCGAAGUGGUUGAUGCCAUGCUUCCAGGAAAAGUCUCUAAGCUUCAGUUACACAGGAAUCGUACCCGAAACCGACACAGGUGGUCAGGUCGAGUAGACCAAGGCGCUUGAGAGAACUCUGCUGAAGGAACUAGGCAAAAUGGUACCGUAACUUCGGGAGAAGGUACGCUGUUGUUGGUGAUGGAACUCGCUUCCUGAGCUGACGACAGCCGCAGAAACCAGGCCGCUGCAACUGUUUAUUAAAAACAUAGCACUCUGCAAACACGAAAGUGGACGUAUAGGGUGUGAUGCCUGCCCGGUGCUGGAAGGUUAAUUGAUGGGGUUAGCGUAAGCGAAGCUCUUGAUCGAAGCCCCAGUAAACGGCGGCCGUAACUAUAACGGUCCUAAGGUAGCGAAAUUCCUUGUCGGGUAAGUUCCGACCUGCACGAAUGGCAUAAUGAUGGCGGCGCUGUCUCCAGCAGAGGCUCAGUGAAAUCGAAAUCGCUGUGAAGAUGCAGUGUACCCGCGGCUAGACGGAAAGACCCCGUGAACCUUUACUGCAGCUUGACACUGAACUUUGACCUUACUUGUGUAGGAUAGGUGGGAGGCUUUGAAGCUGGAACGCUAGUUCCAGUGGAGCCGUCCUUGAAAUACCACCCUGGUAAUGUUGAGGUUCUAACUCUGUCCCGUGAUCCGGGACGAGGACCGUGUCUGGUGGGUAGUUUGACUGGGGCGGUCUCCUCCUAAAGAGUAACGGAGGAGUACGAAGGUGCGCUCAGCGUGGUCGGAAAUCACGCGUAGAGUAUAAAGGCAAAAGCGCGCUUAACUGCGAGACCCACAAGUCGAGCAGGUACGAAAGUAGGUCUUAGUGAUCCGGUGGUUCUGUAUGGAAGGGCCAUCGCUCAACGGAUAAAAGGUACUCUGGGGAUAACAGGCUGAUACCGCCCAAGAGUUCAUAUCGACGGCGGUGUUUGGCACCUCGAUGUCGGCUCAUCUCAUCCUGGGGCUGAAGCAGGUCCCAAGGGUAUGGCUGUUCGCCAUUUAAAGAGGUACGCGAGCUGGGUUUAGAACGUCGUGAGACAGUUCGGUCCCUAUCUACCGUGGGCGCUGGAAAUUUGAGAGGAUCUGCUCCUAGUACGAGAGGACCAGAGUGGACGAACCUCUGGUGUACCGGUUGUGACGCCAGUCGCAUCGCCGGGUAGCUAUGUUCGGAAGGGAUAACCGCUGAAAGCAUCUAAGCGGGAAGCCUACCUCAAGAUAAGAUUUCCCUAGGACUUUAUGUCCUCUAAAGAGCCGUUCGAGACUAGGACGUUGAUAGGUUGGAUGUGGAAGCAUAGUGAUAUGUGAAGCUGACCAAUACUAAUUGCUCGUGAGGCUU
rnacentral:rRNA from 1 species